AAAACAUAGCUCUUUGAAUAUUUAAAGGGUCCAGCCUGCCCAGUGGCUUAAAGCUAAACGGCCGCGGUAUCUUGACCGUGCAAAGGUAGCAUAAUCACUUGUCUUUUAAAUGGAGACUUGUAUGAACGGCGAAACCUUUUUCAACUGUCUCUCCUCCCACCCUUCAAAAUUUCUUUCCGUGUGAAGAAGCACAGAUAUACCAGAAAGACGAGAAGACCCUGUCGAGCUUUAACCAUUAAGUGAACACUCCUAUUUACUUAGAUAUCACCUAAAGGUUUUGGUUGGGGCAACCGUGGAGAAAAAAAAUCCUCCAGAAUAAAUAGAAGAAAACCCUUCACUAAUUAUCAACACUUUAAGAACCAGGAACUGGUAUUCGGAAAAAGUUACCGCAGGGAUAACAGCGUUAUCUCCUCUGAGAGUCCUUAUUGACGAGGAGGCUUGCGACCUCGAUGUUGGAUUGGGGCCCCCUUAGGGUGCAGAAGCUCUAAACGGUUAGACUGUUCGUCUAUUAAAGCCCUACAUGA
rnacentral:rRNA from 1 species